AUUCAAGCGCAAACAAAAAACUCUAAAGGUGAAAGCAGCUGCACCAAACACUCGACCCUCGUUGAGGAUCUAAUCUUCAACCCCUCAUGUCUCCUCUUCACCAUGUCCUCCCUCCUUCAUUGAUGAUGUUACCAAAUCCUUCGCGACAUCGUUGGCUCUUACUAGUCUGGAUGUCAUUGAUCUCUCAAAGUUUUAAAAAAGCUCUCAACAAAAGAAAACACUGCAAUAAUCCUUUCUCUUUGCAAAGCCGUUGUGCACCUCCUCUAUGAUUGUUGCCGACCUACGGCGUUUCUUCAAAAGGUCUUGAACCCUAGAGAAGAAUUUUCAGGUGCAUCAGCGAUCACCGGAACUGUUUACCAUUGAUUUGAUCGCAACAAUGUGCUCCCAGGAGGACCAUGGUGGUAUGACAAGGCACCAAUUUUUCUUCAGAUAUAUGAUGGUAUCACUCCGAUCGAGCAGCUCCCACUCUUCAGUAAUCGUCUCCAGUUCAGGAGAAGCCGACGUCUUGUUGGGACGUAUCAGAAGGGCAGGCGCUACUUCAAUCCAAGAAACCAAGAAUCUCAUCCUCUCUGCCAUUGCAAUCGAACAAUCAAAUCCCUUGUUAACUGCUCUCCCCGGCUUCAAAAGUAAUGAAACGAGCAACUCUGUAUUCUUCGCUCUCAGCUAAUGAAGGAACUCAAAGGAAGCAACGAUGAGGAAAGAAGCACUAGCUUCUUGAGUCUAAAGAGAAGGGAUGUCUGAAAUGGUGGCCUGGGAAUCGGAAGCAAAUUGAUUUGGUGAUUUCUCUUGUUGGUGAAGAUUGUUAUUUAUAAAGGCUUAGUAACUAUGCUGUCGGU